GACGAACGCUGGCGGCGUGCUUAACACAUGCAAGUCGAACGGAAAGGCCCUGCUUUUGUGGGGUGCUCGAGUGGCGAACGGGUGAGUAACACGUGAGUAAACUGCCCUUGACUUUGGGAUAACUUCAGGAAACUGCGGAUCAUACCGGAUAGGAGCUCUUGCUGCACGGUGGGGAUUGGAAAGUGUCGGCGGUUGGGGAUGGACUCGCGGCUUAUGAGCUUGUUGGUCGGGUAGUGGCUUACCAAGGCUUUGACGGGUAGCCGGCCUGAGAGGGUGACCGGCCACAUUGGGACUGAGAUACGGAGCAGUCGCCUACGGGAGGCAGCAGGGGGGAGUAUUGCAGAAUGGGCGGAAGCCUGAUGCGGCAGCGCCGCGUGCGGGAUGACGGCUUUCGGGUUGUAAACCGCUUUCGCCUGUGACGAAGCGUGAGUGACGGUAAUGGGUAAAGAAGCACCGGCUAACUACGUG
rnacentral:rRNA from 1 species